AUACGGAGGAUCCGAGCGUUAUCCGGAUUUAUUGGGUUUAAAGGGUGCGCAGGCGGCCAUUUAAGUCAGCGGUUAAAUCGUGGGGCUCAACCCCAUUCUGCCGUUGAUACUGGGUGGCUUGAUUGCGGUCGAGGUUGGCGGAAUUCGUUGUGUCUGGGUGAAAUGCAUAGAUAUGACGAAGAACACCGAUUGCGUAGGCAGCUGACCAGACCGCAAAUGACGCUCAUGCACGAAAGUGCGGGGAUCGAACAGGAUUAGAUACCCUGGUAGUCCGCACAGUAAACGAUGAAUACUUGUUUUCGGCGAUAUAAUGUCGGAGGCAAAGCGAAAGCGAUAAGUAUUCCACCUGGGGAGUACGCCGGCAACGGUGAAACUCAAAGGAAUUGACGGGG
rnacentral:rRNA from 1 species